AGAGUUUGAUCCUGGCUCAGGAUGAACGCUAGCUACAGGCUUAACACAUGCAAGUCGAGGGGCAGCAUCAUCAAAGCUUGCUUUGAUGGAUGGCGACCGGCGCACGGGUGAGUAACACGUAUCCAACCUGCCGACAACACUGGGAUAGCCUUUCGAAAGAAAGAUUAAUACCGGAUGGCAUAGUUUUCCCGCAUGGGAUGAUUAUUAAAGAAUUUCGGUUGUCGAUGGGGAUGCGUUCCAUUAGGCAGUUGGCGGGGUAACGGCCCACCAAACCAACGAUGGAUAGGGGUUCUGAGAGGAAGGUCCCCCACAUUGGAACUGAGACACGGUCCAAACUCCUACGGGAGGCAGCAGUGAGGAAUAUUGGUCAAUGGACGAGAGUCUGAACCAGCCAAGUAGCGUGAAGGAUGACUGCCCUAUGGGUUGUAAACUUCUUUUAUACGGGAAUAAAGUGAGCCACGUGUGGCUUUUUGUAUGUACCGUAUGAAUAAGGAUCGGCUAACUCCGUGCCAGCAGCCGCGGUAAUACGGAGGAUCCGAGCGUUAUCCGGAUUUAUUGGGUUUAAAGGGAGCGUAGGCGGGUUGUUAAGUCAGUUGUGAAAGUUUGCGGCUCAACCGUAAAAUUGCAGUUGAUACUGGCGACCUUGAGUGCAACAGAGGUAGGCGGAAUUCGUGGUGUAGCGGUGAAAUGCUUAGAUAUCACGAAGAACUCCGAUUGCGAAGGCAGCUUACUGGAUUGUAACUGACGCUGAUGCUCGAAAGUGUGGGUAUCAAACAGGAUUAGAUACCCUGGUAGUCCACACAGUAAACGAUGAAUACUCGCUGUUGGCGAUAUACUGUCAGCGGCCAAGCGAAAGCAUUAAGUAUUCCACCUGGGGAGUACGCCGGCAACGGUGAAACUCAAAGGAAUUGACGGGGGCCCGCACAAGCGGAGGA
rnacentral:rRNA from 1 species